rnacentral:tRNA from 1 species
CAAUAGAAAGCGAAUAACUCGCCUUCAGUUUCGACCUGAUUCAUUUGAUCUAAUCAUCUAUUGA